rnacentral:rRNA from 1 species
GUAGUCAUAUGCUUGUCUCAAAGAUUAAGCCAUGCAUGUCUAAGUAUAAGCAAUCUAUACGGUGAAACUGCGAAUGGCUCAUUAAAUCAGUUAUCGUUUAUUUGAUAGUACCUUACUACAUGGAUACCCGUGGUAAUUCUAGAGCUAAUACAUGCUAAAAACCUCGACUUCGGAAGGGGUGUAUUUAUUAGAUAAAAAACCAAUGCCCUUCGGGGCUCGUUGGUGAUUCAUAAUAACUUCUCGAAUCGCAUGGCCUUGCGCCGGCGAUGGUUCAUUCAAAUUUCUGCCCUAUCAACUUUCGAUGGUAGGAUAGUGGCCUACCAUGGUGGCAACGGGUAACGGGGAAU